rnacentral:rRNA from 1 species
GACGAACGCUGGCGGCGUGCCUAAUACAUGCAAGUCGAGCGAAGCGGGGACGGGUGAGUAACCCGUGGAUAACCUCCUAUAAGACUGGGAUACCUCUGGGAAACCGGAGCUAACCCCGCUACUUAUAGAUGGAUCCGCGCUGCAUUAGCUAGUUGGUAAGGUAACGGCUUAACAAGGCCAAGAUGCAUAGCCGACUUGAGAGGGGUAUCGGCCACACUGGAACUGAGACACGGUCCAGGAUCCUACGGGAGGCAGGAGUGGGGAAUCUUCCGCAAUGGGCGAAAGCCUUACGGAGAAACGCCGCGUGAGUGAUGAAGGUCUUCGGAUCGUAAAACGCUGGUAUUAGGGAAGCGGUACCUAAUCAGAAAGCAACGGCUAACUACGUGCCAGCCGCCGCGGUAAUAC